AGUAGUUUGAUCCGUGGCUCAGGACGAACGCUGGCGGCGUGCUUCAUACAUGCAAGUCGAACGAGAAUCUGACUUCGGUUAGAGGAAAGUGGCGGACGGGUGAGUAAUGUGUAGAGAAUCUGCCCUAAAGGUGGGGGACAACAGAGGGAAACUUCUGCUAAUACCCCAUAUGCGCGUAGUUGAGAUACUAUUCGUGAAAGAUUUAUCGCUUUAGGAUGAGUCUGCAUCUGAUUAGCUAGUUGGGGUGUAAUGGACCACCAAGGCGACGAUCAGUAGCUGGUUUGAGAGGAUGAUCAGCCACAAUGGGACUGAGACACGGCCCAUACUCC
rnacentral:rRNA from 1 species